AAAGACAGGUGGUGCAUGGUUGUCGUCAGCUCGUGUCGUGAGAUGUUGGGUUAAGUCCCGCAACGAGCGCAACCCCUACGGUUAGUUGCUAACGGGUAAGGCCGAGCACUUUAGCCGAACUGCCGUUGACAAACGGAGGAAGGCGGGGAUGACGUCAAAUCAUCAUGCCCUUUAUGUCCUGGGCUACACACGUGCUACAAUGGCCUGUACAAAGGGCAGCAAAGGGCGACCCGGAGCAAAUCCCAAAAAACAGGUCUCAGUUCGGAUUGCAGGCUGCAACUCGCCUGCAUGAAGGCGGAAUCGCUAGUAAUCGCAGGUCAGCAUACUGCGGUGAAUACGUUCCCGGGCCUU
rnacentral:rRNA from 1 species